rnacentral:rRNA from 1 species
UACGGGGGGGGCAAGCGUUGUUCGGAAUUACUGGGCGUAAAGGGCGUGUAGGCGGCCAACUAAGUCCGACGUGAAAUCCCCAGGCUUAACCUGGGAACUGCGUCGGAUACUGGAUGGCUUGAAUUCGGGAGAGGGAUGCAGAAUUCCAGGUGUAGCGGUGAAAUGCGUAGAUAUCUGGAGGAAUACCGGUGGCGAAGGCGGCAUCCUGGACCGACAUUGACGCUGAGGAGCGAAAGCCAGGGGAGCAAACAGG